GACGAACGCUGGCGGCGCGCCUAAUACAUGCCAGUUGAGCGCUGAAGGUUGGUACUUGUACCGACUGGAUGAGCAGCGAACGGGUGAGUAACGCGUGGGGAAUCUGCCUUUGAGCGGGGGACAACAUUUGGAAACGAAUGCUAAUACCGCAUAAAAACUUUAAACACAAGUUUUAAGUUUGAAAGAUGCAAUUGCAUCACUCAAAGAUGAUCCCGCGUUGUAUUAGCUAGUUGGUGAGGUAAAGGCUCACCAAGGCGAUGAUACAUAGCCGACCUGAGAGGGUGAUCGGCCACAUUGGGACUGAGACACGGCCCAAACUCCUACGGGAGGCAGCAGUAGGGAAUCUUCGGCAAUGGACGAAAGUCUGACCGAGCAACGCCGCGUGAGUGAAGAAGGUUUUCGGAUCGUAAAACUCUGUUGGUAGAGAAGAACGUUGGUGAGAGUGGAAAGCUCAUCAAGUGACGGUAACUACCCAGAAAGGGACGGCUAACUACGUG
rnacentral:rRNA from 1 species